CUCUCUCCCUCCAGGACCUGGGAUGGCUGGGAGGGAGGAGCUGGGAUCCCCCCAGCCCCACUCCGGAGUUUCUCCAGGCUGUGUGGUUACCAGCAGCUGAUUUCUAAUAAUUUAGAUCUCCACUUCAGUUUAUGCUUUGAAGACAGAAAUUAAAAGAAACAAAGCCUUUGAAAGCAUGUUUUAUAAACUGUUUCUUGAAGACAUUUCAAAAGAAAACCAGUUGUAAAGAAAUUCUUUCCUUACCCUUCUUACCUCUUUCAACCAGAAACGGGGAAUUUCUCUUCCUUAUCAAACGUCACUGAGUUUCACCAUCCCGACACCAGAACAAAGAUGCUGCAGUGGAAAAAGAGAGGGCCCAGAAGGAUUCUUCAGCCCAAGGGAGCCCCUCCUUGGUUAUAACCUAAUUUGCUGUGUGCAUGUGGACCAGAUGGAUGGAAUUAAACCUUCUUGGGUGUCAUGGUUAAAUCAUUUUAAAAUGUCUGGAGACUCCUGGAAAUGUAAGAAGUCAUACUUCUCUUUCAAAGGAUCAUCCUCUUGUGGUUCAAAUGUGAGUUUUGAAACUGAAACUAUAACUCCUGUGGCUAUAGGGUGGGGUCUCUAUGUUUUCCUUUUUCC
rnacentral:lncRNA from 1 species